GCACCAGUGGUUUAGUGGUAAAAUCCAUCGUUGCCAUCGAUGGGCCCCGUGUUCGAUUCACGGCUGAUGCA
rnacentral:tRNA from 1 species